UACGGGGGGGGCAAGCGUUGUUCGGAAUUACUGGGCGUAAAGCGCACGUAGGCGGCUUUCUAAGUCGGGGUGAAAUCCUGGAGCUCAACUCCAGAACUGCCUUCGAUACUGGAGAGCUCGAGUCCGGGAGAGGUGAGUGGAACUGCGAGUGUAGAGGUGAAAUUCGUAGAUAUUCGCAAGAACACCAGUGGCGAAGGCGGCUCACUGGCCCGGUACUGACGCUGAGGUGCGAAAGCGUGGGGAGCAAACAGG
rnacentral:rRNA from 1 species